GAUGAACGCUGGCGGCGUGCCUAAUACAUGCAAGUCGAGCGAACGGACGAGAAGCUUGCUUCUCUGAUGUUAGCGGCGGACGGGUGAGUAACACGUGGAUAACCUACCUAUAAGACUGGGAUAACUUCGGGAAACCGGAGCUAAUACCGGAUAAUAUUUUGAACCGCAUGGUUCAAAAGUGAAAGACGGUCUUGCUGUCACCUAUAGAUGGAUCCGCGCUGCAUUAGCUAGUUGGUAAGGUAACGGCUUACCAAGGCAACGAUGCAUAGCCGACCUGAGAGGGUGAUCGGCCACACUGGAACUGAGACACGGUCCAGACUCCUACGGGAGGCAGCAGUAGGGAAUCUUCCGCAAUGGGCGAAAGCCUGACGGAGCAACGCCGCGUGAGUGAUGAAGGUCUUCGGAUCGUAAAACUCUGUUAUUAGGGAAGAACAUAUGUGUAAGGAACUGUGCACAUCUUGACGGUACCUAAUCAGAAAGCCACGGCUAACUACGUG
rnacentral:rRNA from 1 species